rnacentral:rRNA from 1 species
UACAGAGGGGGCAAGCGUUAUUCGGAAUUAUUGGGCGUAAAGGGCGCGUAGGCGGCCUGGCAAGUGGAAGGUGAAAUCCCUCGGCUUAACCGAGGAACUGCCCUCCAAACUGCUUGGCUUGAGUCCGGGAGAGGUGAGUGGAAUUCCCAGUGUAGCGGUGAAAUUCGUAGAUAUUGGGAAGAACACCAGUGGCGAAGGCGGCUCACUGGACCGACACUGACGCUGAGGCGCGAAAGCGUGGGGAGCAAACAGG